rnacentral:rRNA from 1 species
CGAACGCUGGCGGCGUGCUUUACACAUGCAAGUCGAACGGUGAAGCGCCUUCCUUUUUGGUGGGUGUGGAUGAGUGGCGAACGGGUGAGUAACACGUGAGUAACCUGCCCCCUUCUUCUGGAUAACCGCAUGAAAGUGUGGCUAAUACGGGAUAUUCUGGGUCUGUCGCAUGAUGGGUCUGGGAAAGAUAUUGUUUCGGUGGGGGAUGGGCUCGCGGCCUAUCAGCUUGUUGGUGGGGUGAUGGCCUACCAAGGCGGUGACGGGUAGCCGGCCUGAGAGGGUGGACGGUCACACUGGGACUGAGACACGGCCCAGACUCCUACGGGAGGCAGCAGUGGGGAAUAUUGCACAAUGGGCGCAAGCCUGAUGCAGCGACGCCGCGUGAGGGAUGGAGGCCUUCGGGUUGUGAACCUCUUUCGCCAGUGAAGCAGGCCUGCCUCGUUUGUGGGUGGGUUGACGGUAGCUGGAUAAGAAGCGCCGGCUAACUACGUG